GACGAACGCUGGCGGCGUGCUUAACACAUGCAAGUCGAGCGGAGCGGCGAACGGGUGGGUAACGCAUGAGUAACUGCCCCCCUCUCUGGGAUAACAGUUGGAAACGGCUGCUGAUACCGGAUAGUGGGGGAUGACUCGCGGCGUAUCAGCUUGUUGGUGGGGUAGUGGCAUACCAAGGCGACGACGGGUAACCGGCCUGGGAAGGCGAACACCCACAUGGGGCUGAGAUACGGCGCAAACGCGUACGGGAGGCAGCGGGGGGAAAUAUUGCACAAUGGGGCCAACCCUGAUGCAGAAGCGCCGCGGGCGGGAGGACGUCCUUGGGGUUGUAAACCGCUUUCAGCCAUGACGCGGUAGUGGCAGAAGAAGCACCGGCUAACUCCGUGCCAGCAGCCGCGGUAAUAC
rnacentral:rRNA from 1 species